GCUAGCGUAGCUUAAUAUAAAGCAUAGCAUUGAAGAUGCUAAGAUGGACCCUAAACGGCUCCGCACGCA
rnacentral:tRNA from 1 species